rnacentral:rRNA from 1 species
UACGUAGGGUGCAAGCGUUAAUCGGAAUUACUGGGCGUAAAGCGUGCGCAGGCGGUGAUGUAAGACAGUUGUGAAAUCCCCGGGCUCAACCUGGGAACUGCAUCUGUGACUGCAUCGCUGGAGUGCGGCAGAGGGGGAUGGAAUUCCGCGUGUAGCAGUGAAAUGCGUAGAUAUGUGGAGGAACACCAAUGGCGAAGGCAGCCUUCUGGGCCAACACUGACGCUCAUGCACGAAAGCGUGGGGAGCAAACAGG